rnacentral:rRNA from 1 species
UACGUAGGGUGCGAGCGUUAAUCGGAAUUACUGGGCGUAAAGCGUGCGCAGGCGGUUUUGUAAGCCAGAUGUGAAAUCCCCGGGCUUAACCUGGGAAUGGCAUUUGGGACUGCAAGGCUCGAGUGCGGCAGAGGAGACGUGGAAUUCCUGGUGUAGCAGUGAAAUGCGUAGAUAUCAGGAGGAACACCGAUGGCGAAGGCAGGUCUCUGGGCUGACACUGACGCUCAUGCACG